rnacentral:rRNA from 1 species
UACGUAGGGGGCGAGCGUUGUCCGGAUUCAUUGGGCGUAAAGCGCGCGUAGGCGGCUCGACAAGUCGGCCGUGAAAUCUCCAGGCUUAACUUGGAGGGGUCGGGCGAGACUGUCGGGCUCGAGGUGGGCAGAGGGCAGUGGAAUUCCGGGUGUAGUGGUGGAAUGCGUAGAGAUCCGGAGGAACACCAGUGGCGAAGGCGGCUGCCUGGGCCUGGCCUGACGCUGAGGCGCGAAAGCGUGGGGAGCGAGUCGG